rnacentral:tRNA from 1 species
UAGCCUAGUGGUUAAGGCUAUGGAUCGCCAAUCCAGAGACGGCGGGUUCGAUUCCCGGC